rnacentral:rRNA from 1 species
GAUGAACGCUAGCGGCAGGCCUAAUACAUGCAAGUCGAGGGGUAGAAGAGGCUUGCUUCUUUGAGACCGGCGCACGGGUGCGUAACGCGUAUGCAACCUACCUUCAUCUGGGGGAUAGCCCGGAGAAAUCCGGAUUAAUACCGCAUAAAAUCACAGGAUGGCAUUAUCCAAUGAUCAAACAUUUAUGGGAUGGAGAUGGGCAUGCGUGUCAUUAGCUAGUUGGCGGGGUAACGGCCCACCAAGGCGACGAUGACUAGGGGAUCUGAGAGGAUGGCCCCCCACACUGGUACUGAGACACGGACCAGACUCCUACGGGAGGCAGCAGGAAGGAAUAUUGGUCAAUGGCGGCAACUCUGAACCAGCCAUGCCGCGUGCAGGAAGACUGCCCUAUGGGUUGUAAACUGCUUUUAUUCGGGAAUAAACCUUAUUACGUGUAAUAAGCUGAAUGUACCGAAGGAAUAAGGAUCGGCUAACUCCGUGCCAGCCGCCGCGGUAACAC